CAGAGCAUUAAUUUUUUUUUGUUAAACAUUUGUCGUGAGAUAGUGUGGAGGCAAGUGUAUAAUGAUAUGCUAAGAAUAUAAGAAUGUAAUAUUCAUUUUAAUAUCAAGUUUCUUUUGUAUCAUACUUGAAUCAUUCGCAAAAUGGAGUUUUGUAACUAUAGACUUUAGACAGUUUAUGUAGAUUUAAUAGAUUUGCAUUCGUAUGAAUUUUAUCACAUUUCUGUUUAGAUUGUAAUACAAAUAUUAUUCAAAGAAAAAAUAAAGUUACCAAUACCUAUUAGCUUUUAUUUGAAAUUAGGGGAGAAGUUAAAACUAAGAAAUACAGUAAAUGUGUUUCAUAUACAGUAAGUCCACGUUUAACGUUGCAAUUGACAAUGUUGUUUCGUUAUAACGUCGAUACUCUUUAGAUACCCCUGAUUCGGAAAACGUCCCGCCAAUUCAGUAUAACGCCAUGGACUACUUUGUAUGGCGCAUCACCCAGUCAGCGGGAGGAGGAACCACCCUCCGGCUCUCAGUGACUCGCCACCCUCCUCCUCUCCCACCCUCUUCCUCUCCACUCCCCACCACACACUUGCUUCAUAUACGCCAAUCAGAACGGAACCACCACUUUAAGCGAGGACUUACAGUACUGUACUGUGCAUAUAUAUUCAGCCUUCAACUCCUUCACUACAUGGAUGCCACUUAGAAUAUGUUAUUUGGCUAGCACCAGAUGAUUUUAUUCAGCACAGAGAGGAACCUUCACACAAGGGGUUGGAUUUGUGGGCUUUUUCAAUACCAUCAUUCUGUGGCCUGGGUUCCCCCUGUUGGAUGUUUUUGGAUGGGAGACAUUUCAGUUGCCAAAUCUGCAACACCUGUUCUACAUGUCUGUUAAUGGCUUAGUAGGAACUGUCCUGUCUGAACUUCUUUGGCUUUGGGGAUGCUUCCUUACUUCAUCAUUGAUGGCUACUUUAUCUUUGAGCUUAACUAUUCCCUUGACAAUGUUUGUGGACAUCUGGCUCAAGGGCAUCAAGUAUUCACUGCUAAUUUAUAUUGGUGCAAUUCCCAUGAUGACAUCUUUUAUUGCUGUCUCACUUCUCACACAUUAUGAAAGCUGGGACCCAUUGAUGGAUGGAAUGAAAUAUCUUCAUAGAAAGUGUUGGAGAAGAAACCACAUGUACAGUUUGGUUGACACAGAGGGAGUGGAAAGAGAGUUUGACUGUUAAUAGUGCUGACAAUGACGAAGCUGAGGAUGAAGAAGAACUAGACACCACACUCAUUAACAACUCCUUCACCAUCAACAGUAGUGCCACAGUCAUCAGUAGUAAUUAUUCCAUAGUCGGUAAUGAUACUGCCACCCCAGCCCCCAUAAGUAACAUCCUUACCAACCAUGUCUGAAAUCAUUGUACAAACUUGAUUAAUAUGAUGCUUAUUGUAAGAUAUUCUGAUUUUAAUUUAUUGCAAGUUUUCCCUCCAAUUAGAAAAAGUGAGUUGAAAUAGUAUUCAAGGAAAAAUUACAUGCUGUAUAUGGCAGUGGUACUGUUAUGAAGUGAGAAUAAAUCAAUAUUGAGUAGUCACUGCAGAAACUGUCCACAUGCCCUAGUUAAGGAAGUGCUCUGAGUAGAUACAUAACAGGAAGUACAGUAGUGUUAACCAUGAUUUAUUAAUAAUUUUAUAGAUUGGGUAUUAUUUUUAAAUAUUUCAUAUUUUCAUCUUAACUGCAUCAGAAUUAAUCAUUAGUACAAUUAAUUCCUCUUUCUAAACACACUCCUUUCUUAACACAACCAUCCCCAAAAUUUAGGAUGAGUUAUUGUUAGGUUUUUAACACUAGAUUUAAGAUAUACUAUGCUCCCACAAUGGGUUCCCAUAUUCCUUUUGGUUACUGAACUGUAAAGUAAUUUGGUGAAGCAUAUUGCUCUUUUAGUAGCUGUAGGGUGAUAGUUUACUCAGGAAAUCAUCAUAAUUGCACAAAUUUUAUGAGAUGAAAAGUUUUGAAUAUUUUGGGCAAGAAACUAUCAUGCAUCUAAACAGGUAGAGAAUUUUCCUGUACUGUAGUGUGUUACCUAUAGUUUGGGUGAUAUAUGAAAAUGAUAAUUUUUCCCAACAUAUAUUUUAGAUGAUACUCCUACUGAUAAUGUGUUUUUAUUGGCUGUGCCUUGGGCAUAGCAGGAAAUAAACUUGAUAUCUAUA